rnacentral:rRNA from 1 species
AAGUCUAAGUAUAAGUUAUUCUGAAGACGAAACUGCGAAUGGCUCGGUAAAACAGCAAUAAUUUCUUCGGUGAUGAUUUUACUCACGGAUAACCGUAGUAAUUCUAGAGCUAAUACGUGCUGAGAUAAGGUGGGGCUUGCUCCACCGUGCCGUUUAGAUAACAACACCAACAAUUGGUGAUUCAUAAUCGGCUUUCUGAUCGCUUUCGGUCUGACACACCGUUCAAAUUUCUGACCUAUCAACUUUCGAUGGUAAGGUAGUGUCUUACCAUGGUGGUAACGGGUAACGGACCGUGGGUGCGGGACUCCGGAGAGGGAGCCUGAGAAACGGCUACCACAUCCAAGGAAGGCAGCAGGCGCGCAACUUACCCAAUCCAGACUCUGGGAGGUAGUGACAAGAAAUAUCAAUAGGGGAGCCUAUGGUCCUUCUAAUUGGAAUGAGAUCGAGCUAAACAGCGAUAUCGAGAAUCCAGCAGAGGCAAGUCUGGUGCCAGCAGCCG